rnacentral:lncRNA from 1 species
CAUAUAUUAAACUGUCUUUAUUCAAAUGAGCAUGGUUUGUCUUCUGAUUAGACCUUGACUGAUGAAGAUAGAGAAUAAUAUGGCCAGGAAAAUAAGUUUAAAGUGUCUUAACACUGUAGAUAAAAAAAGUUAUGAUUCCCAGUCUAGAAUUAAAGUGCUCUGACCAUCUAGGGGAAUGACUUUUACAAAGUUGGUAACCUAGGGAGUUUGAUUUCUUUGUAAGGCAUAGCCCACCUCUGUGAUUUCUAGUAUACCUUUGAACAGUGUAAAGUUCCUUCUUGGAAGAAAGGAGGCAGCAAAUGUCAUCACGUGCCUUGUUCUUGUUGAACAGCUAUGGAGAACUGCUCAGAAAAGGAAUCACAUUCUAAAGGAGACUCCGGACACACCUUUGCCACUUCAUUAAAUUUCAUUUUCUUUUCUCUUCCCACCAGGCUAUUAGCUCCAGAUUGUGAAAUCAUACAGGAAGUGGGAAAACUCUAUCCACUGGAGAUAGUAUUUGGAAUGAAUGGAAGAAUAUGGGUUAAGGCAAAAACCAUCCAGCAGACUUUAAUUUUGGCAAACAUUUUAGAAGCUUGUGAACACAUGACGUCAGAUCAAAGAAAACAGAUCUUCUCCAGAUUGGCAGAAAGUUGAUAUAGGUGGACUUUUUUACAGGUCAGUUGAGGCAAAAAACUAUGGGUUUUUUCAGGUGAACCUCCCCCAUUUAAAUACUCAGAAGAUAAGGUGUGAAUGUAUGUAUUAUUAGAGUCCGAAAGUAUUUUUAUAAGUUACUGGUUUUCACCCACGCUUUUGUGGGAGAGAAAAUCAUUGCAAAAUCAUUUUUUUUGUUCGGUACAAUAAAGUUUACUAAAAAACAGUAUUAGGGUUUAUUUGGAGUUAACUCCCUUAGUAAUUGCUACAGCUUCCAUAAUUAACUGGAGGUCAGCAGUAAAAUAAUUUUGUGAUUAUAACAGUAAGCCAGGUUCACCAGAGGAAAUGUGGAAUACCUAAGUAUAAAGCAGCAAAGAAAUGUCACCUGUAGUCCCAUUAUUCAGCGGGUGAGUAUAUAACAACGAAAUACUUUUUCAUUUACCAAGUAUUGUGUUUUGCAUGGAUUAACUCCUUUAUUCUAACUGCAGAAGACACUUAUCCUCAUAAUUGAAACUGAGGCACAGAAUUUAACUUGGCCUACAUUCUCUAUAUUCAUCAAAUUGAAAUUAUAGUUAUUAUAGCUUAUAUGCCACUUUGUAAUAUACUUUUGUCUACUUCAAACAGCAUGAUACAUUUCACAACUUUAGUCACAUAUUUCAUGUUACAGGAUAUUUUUGAGUUUUAUCAUUAUAUAAAUAACACUAUGAGGAUUUCUGAAUCCAAAUCUGGCCAAGUCUUAUUUUGCUAAAAUCAUUUCCUAGGAGCUAAGCAUAGAAAACUCUUCUAUGCUAUUUAGUAUAUUAACCAAAACCUUUAGAGGUAAAGAGACUGCCAGGUGAUCCACAUCAGUGAUUCUUGGUUUCUAGACCUCUGAGAAUAUGUGAGAUACAGAUCCCCUGAAGCCUAUCCAUAGAAAGUCCUUUUUGGAUCAAAGAGAUUAUAGAACUCUAUUUGUUGAUAAAGACCAAGGAGCUUCGUGUGUUUCUAAUGUUUUCUAAGGACUGGAUGGUUUUUAGUUCAAUAGCUUUUAGGGGUACAAGUGGUUUUGGAUUACACGGAUGAAUUGUAUAGUGGUGAAGUCUGAGAUUUUGGUGUACCAGUCACCUGAGUACUAUAUAUUGUACCCAGUAUGUAGUUUAUCCUUCCCCCUUCCCUGUUCCGGGUCUCCAGUAUCUGUUAUACCACUCUGUGUGCUUACCUGUAGCUUAGCUCCCACUUAAAGUGGGAACAUUUGGUAUUUGGUUUUCCAUUCCUGAGUUACUUCACUAAGAAUAAUAGCUUCCAAUACUAUCCAAGUUGCUGCAAAAGACAUUUUUUAUGGCUAAUAUUCCAUGGGAUAUAUAUACCACACUUUAUCCAUUCAUUGGUUGAUGGGUACUUAGGUUGGUCCCAUAUCUUUUAUUAUGAACUGUCUAGCCAGUUUUUAAAUAGAAAAGUACUGAUUAGGUGAACAGUUCCUUAGGAAU